rnacentral:rRNA from 1 species
CACUGCUCUGACGGAUGCUUUUAUUAGACCAAGCCGCUGAGGACUUGAGGGUUCGCGCUCUCCUGUCUGACUCGUGUAAUGGUGAUUCUGGAUAACCAAACUUCUGACAAGCGUACGUACUUCUCUUCUGAGCGAGACGACGCUGCCACUUUCGAGUGUCUGCCUUAUCAGCUAUCAACCGUUCGUUAUGCGCGACCGAUGGCUUUGACGGGUAACGGGGAAUCAGGGUUCGAUUCCGGAGAGGCAGCCUGAGAGACGGCUACCACGUCCAAGGACGGCAGCAGGCACGCAAAUUACCCAAUCCCAGCAAAUGGGGGAGGUAGUGACGAAAUCUAACGAUGCGGGCGCCCUUUCUGGGGCCCCGCAAUCGGAAUGGGCACUUUCUAAACAACCUGUUGAGAACCUACUGAAGGGCAAGUCUGGUGCCAGCAGCCGCGGUAAUUCCAGCUUCAGCAGCAUCUAUUAAAGUUGCUGCGGUUAAAAGGCUCGCAGUUGAAUGUCUGUAUCGAGCGCAGGUCAGGUGGACGUUGGGGCGUGGAAGUACGGGCAGUUGGAUGUCCGGAGGGCCUUCGUGCUCGACGGCUCCUUCGGCUUUUCCACACACCCCCGUCCGUGACAAGCCUCCUCGCUCGGGUACAUAACGGGAAUCGGUCAAACGGAGUGUGGUCGGAGGUUGAGGUGCGUGGCUUCGGUUGCGUGUUUCUUCUUUCGGCUGCGUUAAGCUCCAUCGGUUUCACGGUCACCUUGAGUAAAUCAGAGUGCUCAAAGCAGUCGUAGGGGCCUUGCGCCCUGUGAACAGUCUUGACGGACUGACUUGGUUUUGCAUGGCAUGUCGGAAGACGACGUCGUGUGCUGGCUCAGAGGAUAAAUCAGUGGUACAAGCCAGCCUCGACGUAAUGAUUAAAAGGGACGGUCGAGGGCAUUGGUAUUGCGAGGCGAGAGGUGAAAUUCUGUGACCCCCGCAAGACCUCCUGAAGCGAAAGCGUCUGCCAAGGACGUUUUCAUUAAUCAUGAACGAAAGUUAGAGGAUCGAAGGCGAUCAGAUACCGCCCUAGUUCUAACCCUAAACGAUGCCAACCAUCAAUCCGCGCGUAGCACCCUUCUUAACGGGCUCGGCGGGCAGCUCCCCACUCACGGGAAACCAGAGCCUCUGGGUUCCGGGGGGAGUCUGGUUGCAAAGCUGAAACUUAAAGGAAUUGACGGAAAGGCACCACCAGGCGUGGAGCCUGCGGCUUAAUUUGACUCAACACGGGCCAUCUCACCAGGCCAGCACUCUUGUACGAUUGACAGAUUGAGAGC